ensembl:lncRNA
CUUAAGAUUUAGUAGGAAUACGUUCGCCUUAAGGCUGUCUAUAAGCUUGUGCGCUCCAAAACAAUUUAGAAGUGAUAUACGCGUUCAAAACGUACAGUCUCUCUCUACCGCCGAUACAGAUCCACGGUUUUGAUGACAUCAUUCUGCACUUCAGCUUCUCGUCAGAUUUUCUGUCCAAUCAAACGCUCUGUAGAAUCUGAAAUGUCCCGCCCCCCCCCGACGUUAUAAUGUUAUAAACGCCCAUGGCGCAAAGCGUCGAGUACGGCUUCACCCGGGCUGCGAGCUAAUAAAUGAUCCUUCAGUGUGAAUGGACGGAUCCAAGCGGGGAAAAUGCUGAAACCAGAACCGAAUUCUGAAUUUGGCGUGUCUAUGGUAAAACGACACCAAGGCAGAACGCAAAAAAUUCAUAUUCUCAGAGUGGGACGGAGCGAGAGAGAGAGAGAGAGGAGAGAGAGAGAGAGAGAGGGAGAGAAUAGUUGAGAAUAACACUCAGGUGUUUUCCCCCUCAGUAAACUCUCUCCCCUUCACACACGCGGUGACCCCGGGAACGGAGAGAAUAUUCCCGAAAUGAAAUUCUGCGAGAUAAAAAUCACGAGCGGAUUUCUCAACAUUUCUGGCGGCGAAGGAAAACAAAAGAACUUUUUUUUUUGCCGGGAGCGAGUGGCGAUUGACAGAUAUGGCCGACGACCAAGAAGGAGUGGGAGGAGAGAGAGAAACAGAAAGAAAGCCCAGAUUAAGGAAUAUAAGAAGGAAAACAAACGACAAAGCAGCACUCAGAAAGAAAGAAAAAAAAGAAAGAAAGAAAGAAAGAAUGCGAGAAAAAGAGACAGGAAGUCAUUCAAUCAUCCUGUUACGUUAACGCUCGUCCCACGGGCCCACUAAAGGGGGAAUACAACCCAAUUAGGUCUGAGCUAAGGGUCCCAGUGCGCAGCACUGCUCUGAGGGACAACAAAGAUUAAUGAAGUGGUGAAAGAAAGUGUCACAAAGGGCCAGAAAAACAAAAGCGGGAGAGAAUUACGAGGCGGAGGAGUGGAGAGGAGGAUCCUGGACAUGUCCACAAGGUCACGGAGCUAAUGGAGUGCACAUGCUGGGGGAGGGGCGAAGAGGUAAUUGUGUCUCAACGAGCUGUCUGGGUAAAAAAAGAAAAAUAAUGAAGGUUCCUGGCUCAGGAUCAUCAAAGACAUGAGGGUCUAUACGUCAUCGUAAGAGCAAGUGCAACGCUUCACACCGCGCAGACGCGUGAAACUCGACACCUCGUCCGUGCCGCGAAGUGUGAGGGUGUCGCUCCAGCUGCCGGGGUCCCGAUUCACGUUCCUGUGUGUGGUGAAGAGCUUGAGACAUCCACACGAUAAACAUCUCGGAAACACGAUCGAGUGUCCGAGAUCCGGACAGAAUCGCGUCCGAUUUCUAUAACGGACGGUGAGAUAACGUGUGUUCUCCGUGUCAGAUCUAACGAUAGACCUCUGAUUAAAUGAAAUACAGUUAUUCAGGACAACCUAUCGUGACAAGUGGUUCCGUUGGGUCUUCCAGCGAGAUCCUGAACUCCCCUCUGCUCUGAUGCCUCUUCUCCAUGGCAGCCACGUGAGAACGUGUAACGUCUAAUCUGCACAGUCUGUGUCACUUCGUGUUCUUCUAUGACUCCCGUAGUGGAGUGGAAACCCCUGAAAUCCAGGAAACGUGACGAAGGAACUGUUCAGGAAGGUUUUCGCUUCCUAAAAAGGUUCCUCGGUGGAAACCGGAGCAAAAACGACCCUCGAAACUCCCUGAGCUUGUAUCCUGCCUGUGUAAAACAGGGACGUACCCACUGAGGAGGUCUGGAUGCAGACCCAGACAAAGUACUGCAGAGAUCUCAAACUUUCUGUAACCGUUACACGCGUUAACUGUGAAACGGAUCCCAAGGACCCCCUCGGUACAUAUUUAUUUAUUUCAUUAACGUUAUUGAAAAGUGAAGACAAUACUACUUUGUCUACAUUUUGGAGUCACGGUGCGUGUUAUUCUUGAAUGUUCCACCAGCAGAACAUAUUAAGUCCAAGCUAACAUUAUGUGGAGCUUUAUUUAUUUGUUUAUGAGUUGUCUGGAUGAAAGCCUUUUAAAUCCAGGGAGCGAUCGAGCCCGGCUAAGAACGAGAAGAACUCUGUGGAUAAAGAUAUCAACGUUGGGCUGCGACUUCCAAAUGAAACCGACUCGGCAACGAAACAAUACCAAAAUCACGGACCAAACUUUAAGGAACAACGUGUCAGAGGAUUACUCAUGAAUUAAUCUGCUGUCAAAAUUUUCAUUCAGUCAUUGAAGUCGGUCGGAUCCGGACGUGAGGAGCCCGGAUCACGUGGGACGUGGGCUAAUACUGUGUGCUGUAAAUAAGAGACCGGCGUGAUGAUCUCAGGUCAUCAGACACACCGGUCCAUCUACAGGUCGUGUUUUCGGAUCGCCGAGACGUAACUCGAGAUCGCUCACACGUUCUGAGCUACAGGAGCUCGAACCCUGUUUCAAAAGGAACCAGCUGUCAGAUACUCGACUUGACCCGGCAUCCAGCAGCGAAGGAAAAGCUCCCAGAAUGCACUGCUCUCGUUAGUAAAGAGUAAAAUUCCAGAGGUGCUCCAGCUGUGUCUGUUUGCUAAACACUGUCUGUCCCUGCGAGUCUGACAGACGGGAGGAGAUAAACUGAGGCAACAGGCGCUCGUCCGCAACUGGGUACUUCACCCCCACACACACACACACAAACACACACACACACACACACACACACACAAACGGGGUAAAUAUUUGUAUGCGCGACGGAGGUCGGGUCUCGGCCACACACUCGAGCUCUGUUCUCGUUUUUCACCGAGAUCACAGGCUGGAAAUGAGGCGUUUAGCGUUCGUUCUGCCAACUUCCUCUCAAAACCAAACACACACACACACACACACGUCUUUAGUGAGACACGAUAUCACCGAGCGUCACCACACGUCUGUAACAUGACGACACUUGAGGUUAAGUCGCCGUUUCAGCGUGAAAUCUGAACGUGAAAGAUGUUCGUCCGUCAUCUUAUACCUCAACACCCUGAGCGUGACCGACCGACUGACCGAGAGCAGCGAAGAGCUUGUUCAGGCUUUAUAUCACACUCCGUGUGUGUGUGUGUGUGUGUGUGUGCGCGUCUAGCAGCAGCUCACUCUCUACAGGCUUUAGAGAGGAUUAGAAGGCCCGUCUUUGUCAGCUAAGCGAAGGCUGUUGUAAAGUAUCAAGUCCCACGCUUACAAAACAUUAUAUAAGGUCAAAAAUCCAACCCAUUCAUCCAUAGCGUCCACAUGGAGGAAAAAUCCAACAUGGAAAUCAUCUCCAAAUCACUUCUAUUGUAAGUAUAAACCCUGAUCCUGAUUUCUCAUUCUCAGAGCCGCGUGUGUCUCUGUCCAAAGCUUUCAUACAAAAAGUCCAAAUCGAGUAAAAACAAUACUUUAAUGCUAGAGAGACUCUAACGAAUGUUAGUCUAAGUGUUUUUACUUGCACUCAUGACGCACUCGGACUACAUCACUCACCGGUCAGAAAUAUCGAGGCAGAAUUUCCGUUGAACGCUGACCUCAACGACCGCGUCGACGCGUAUAUAAAGAACUAGCGGCAUUUCUGCAGCGCUACGGCUCUGUACUCGGGCUCGAACGCUGCAACUUUCUCACGUGAAAGCGGACCACGUCCACCUCGGUCAGAACCCCAGAGUGCGAUCUCUGUGUGCUUAAAGAUCCGCACCGAGGAGGAGAACGCACCAGGGUUCCAUUCAAACACGUUAAACACCGCGCAUGUCAAAGCAAAAGGGUUCUUUGGAGGGUUAACGAGGCUGUUGUCCGUCUCUGGAACCUUUGAGGGUUCCUUCAAAGGGACGGACCAGAGAACGUGAAGUUUGCUGACGUUUGAGGGAAAGCAGGUCCUUAGUCAGCGCUUAAGACAGACAAUAGGCGCGGUGAGGAUGGAAGUGAGCUGUGCGUGUUCCCACAGGAAAGAGGAAGCCGAGUGUCACACACACAGUGCGUGACGUUAAGAUGGAUGUUUUGGAUUUGUUUUGUAUGCUAACGCUAACUCUUUCUGUGGAUGUGAAUGGAGACGGUUCUUGACUCAUCACGCUGAUGGAAAAACGUCUCCAAGGUGCUGGAACGUUUGCGUUUACUGUGAAAACGGCGUUCGACGAAGAGACGGAUGAACGGACAAGAACUGCUCUGAAACGAGUGAGCGCACAUCUGUAGGCUGCACUCUUAACGCUCUGAGAAAUCGCUAAUAGUCAAUUAUUAUAGCUGGGACUAAUUACAACCAGAAACACACGCACACACACACACAUCUGUGAUCUCUCGCUGAGAUGCAAGCUCACAAAAGUACGACAGAUUAUACACGACACUCGGAUACACCGCUACUGAAGGGUUCAUUUUCACCUUUGAUCCCGAAAAUCACUUCAUUUUAUUCAUUAUUAUGUCGUUUAACAGGACUUGAGGUAGAACCGAAAUAUAUAAUAAUAUCCAUAUUGCGAUAAAUUAUGUCACAAGACAUUUUUCCGAGAUAGCGCAGGUAUCGAGAUAUCUUUUUAUCAUUUCUUUUUCUUUAAUGAUUACAAUCUCUAUAAGCAGAUUCAUUUCAUGUUCACGUUUUGCAUCUUUUUUUUUUUUUUGUAAAAAAACAGCCCACCCAGUGUUUUCUUUCUUUCUUUCUUUCUUUUUAAAAAAAAAAAACUGUCAUCAAAUGAAUAUUGUUAAAGCUAAAAUUUACAGGCGACACGAUAUUGCUGGAAGAUCGUCCGACACUCGAGUAUGGUGAUUACAGAUCGUCUGCGCUCUAACCCUGUAUCGAUGAUUAGUAAUGAAAAGACGUCGACUGUCUUUUAAACGCUGCUGAAAAUACAGUAACGAGUAUUUCACUGGACGUUAAAGUCCAUUUUUGUGCCAGUUGUUUCAUUUCAUAUACAGGACUGUGCGAAGAAAGAAACGCUGUAGAGCAAAGAUGCCUUCAAACAUAAUGAAAUUAAAUGUUUCUGCGUUUAAAAAAUAUAUAUAUUAUAAAGAGCAGUACACACUAAUCAGCGAAAAUAAAGUCAAUAUUUAGUGUAUAGCGUAUAAGUGUAUAGUGUAUAAGUAUAUAGUCCAUAAGUGAAUAUUUAGUGUAUAGUGUAUUAGUGUAUAGUGUGUAAGUGUAUAGUGUAUAUGUGAAUAGUGUAUAAGUGAACAUUUAGUGUAUAGUGUUUACAUGUAUAGUGUAUUAGUGUAUAGUGCAUAGUGACUAUUUAGUGUAUAGUGUAUAAGUGUAUAGUCCAUAAGUGAAUAUUUAGUGUAUAGUGUAUUAGUGUACAGUGUAUUUUAUGAAUAUGUAUAGUGUAUAUGUGAAUAGUGUAUAAGUGAACAUUUAGUGUAUAGUGUUUAUGUGUAUAAUAUAUACAUGAAUAGUGUAUGAGUAUAGUUAUAAGUGUAUAGUGUAUAUGUGAAUAGUGUAUAAGUGAAUAUUUAGUGUAUAGUGUAUAAGUGUAUAGUGUAUUAGUGUAUAGUGCAUAAGUGAACAUUAGUGUAUAGUGUUUAUGUGUAUAGUGUAUAAGUGAAUAUUUAGUGUAUAGUGUUAUAAGUGUAUAGUAUAUACAUGAAUAGUGUAUAAGUGAAUAUUUAGUGUAUAGUGUAUAAGUGUAUAGUGUAUAUGUGAAUAGUGUAUAAGUGAAUAUUUAGUGUAUAGUGUAUAAGUAAAUAGUGUAUAAGUGAAUAUAUUAUAUUGAAAAAUCGUGAAAUCCUCCUGCUAGCCUGUUUAAAUGAUUUAUACACCAUUCUAAAAUAAAAUAAUAAUUUUACGCACCAGUUCUCGGCUUAUGAUUGUUACAUGAAUUCGUUCAUUUCGAUCACUGAACUUUGAACACAGCUAUUUAUUUACCUUUUACACCAUCUCAGGUGUGAUAAUGAUAAUGAGAACACAUCAGUCAAAGUGUGCUGGUGCUGAGGGUGCACAAACUUCUGCACUCGUCGCCACACAAACUUUGCGUUAAACUCGUAAAUUAGCGUACCUUUUGCUCGGGUCUUUGUUGAGUGAGGUCCUGGUUUGGUAGCUGUACCGUCCCGGUCCCCAGGUCCCCAGAACCCCGCACACCAAACACACCAGCAGCAGGAGCACGCAGCGGGAAAAGAACCGGUGAAGCGCGGACACCGAGCCUGCGGGACACGCGCCCAUCACAGCAACGUCAAACACACACACACACACACACACACACACACACACUCUCCCGAUACUGUUUCCGCACGGAUCCCGUUAAUCUUGAGUGCAGGCUGGUCAGGAAGAAAGAAGUUUCUUCUAAAACUGAUACAAAAAAUAAAUCUAUAUAUAAAUAUAAAUAUAUAUCAGGAGUCUGGAGCUGCGCAAAAAAAGACCUAAAAUGUGCAAAAUAUUAAAAAUGAAUCAGCGAGUUUUGUCCCGAAAUCCAGCAGAAAGGAAACGAAAUCGUGUGGAAGUUCCUCCAGUUCCUUCACUCCUCCUCACAUCUCCAGCACUUUUGACAAGAGCAACCCAACAGAGCAGCUUUAUAGCGUCCUCGCGCUCUGUGUGUGUGUGUGUGUGUGUGUGUGUGUGUGUGGGCGUGUUUUUAUAUCUUGGUGGGGAGAAAUUUUCACUGAAAUAUCUGACAAGUUUCGAGUUUGUGAGGACAUUUGGCUGGUCCCAGACAAGGAAGACAUUUUGAACAAAACAACAGAAAUAACAAUUAAAAAGUAAUACAAAUAAAUAAACAAGCGAAAUAUUUCCUUUAGGUCAUUAGGGUUGAGGUUAGGGUUAGAUUGAUGUGUAGAAUGGCAUUAAUUAGUUUAAUUUAAUAGUUAUGUCAGUGGUAGGUCCUCAUAAGCGUAGUAAGACAGAUGUGUGUGUGUGUGUGUGUGUGUGUGUGCGCGCGUGCAAUUCAUCAGCCAACCCCAUUCCUUCACCCAGCUUCCUGUCUACUCACAUACACACACACACACACACACACACACACACACACACACUUUGGCUGAGUCCCCAGACCGCACAACUCCCCCACUAACACAAUGUCAAAUCACAACACCGCAAACCUGCUGCCA